rnacentral:lncRNA from 1 species
CACAAAUUUGUCUUCUGACUUUAGUCAGAGAGAGGAUGGUCCACAGGCACUUAAAUACAUCAGGAGUCAGCUGGAAAAAAUGAUCAGAGUUAAUGAGGAGUUAACUGUGCAAGCCAGUCUGCGCAAAAGCCAAGCACAAG